rnacentral:rRNA from 1 species
GACGAACGCUGGCGGCGUGCUUAACACAUGCAAGUCGAACGGAAAGGCCCUGCUUUUGUGGGGUGCUCGAGUGGCGAACGGGUGAGUAACACGUGAGUAACCUGCCCUUGACUUUGGGAUAACUUCAGGAAACUGGGGCUAAUACCGGAUAGGAGCUCCUGCUGCAUGGUGGGGGUUGGAAAGUUUCGGCGGUUGGGGAUGGACUCGCGGCUUAUCAGCUUGUUGGUGGGGUAGUGGCUUACCAAGGCUUUGACGGGUAGCCGGCCUGAGAGGGUGACCGGCCACAUUGGGACUGAGAUACGGCCCAGACUCCUACGGGAGGCAGCAGUGGGGAAUAUUGCACAAUGGGCGGAAGCCUGAUGCAGCUACGCCGCGUGCGGGAUGACGGCCUUCGGGUUGUAAACCGCUUUCGCCUGUGACGAAGCGUGAGUGACGGUAAUGGGUAAAGAAGCACCGGCUAACUACGU